GGACGCUUAGCUCAGCUGGAUAGAGCGUCGGCCUCCGGAGCCGAAGGUCACAAGUUCGAAUCUUGUAGCGUCCG
rnacentral:tRNA from 1 species